rnacentral:rRNA from 1 species
AUGAACGCUAGCUACAAGGCUUAACACAUGCAAGUCGAGGGGCAGCAUGAAGUCAGCUUGCUGACUUUGAUGGCGACCGGCGCACGGGUGAGUAACGCGUAUCCAACCUUCCCCCUUACUCAGGAAUAGCCCGUUGAAAGACGGAUUAAUGCCUGAUGUUCUCUUUUUCCGGCAUCGGUAAUAGAGCAAAGAUUCAUCGGUAAGGGAUGGGGAUGCGUAUGAUUAGCUUGUUGGCGGGUAACGGCCCACCAAGGCAACGAUCAUUAGGGGUUCUGAGAGGAAGGUCCCCCACACUGGAACUGAGACACGGUCCAGACUCCUACGGGAGGCAGCAGUGAGGAAUAUUGGUCAAUGGAGGCAACUCUGAACCAGCCAAGUAGCGUGCAGGAUGACGGCCCUAUGGGUCUUAAACUUCUUUUGUAAGGGAGCAAUAAGGGUCACGUGUGGCCUGAUGAGAGUACCUUACGAAUAAGCAUCGGCUAACUCCGUG